UACGAAGGGGGCUAGCGUUGCUCGGAAUCACUGGGCGUAAAGGGUGCGUAGGCGGGGCUUUAAGUCAGGGGUGAAAUCCUGGAGCUCAACUCCAGAACUGCCUUUGAUACUGAAGAUCUUGAGUUCGGGAGAGGUGGGUGGAACUGCGAGUGUAGAGGUGAAAUUCGUAGAUAUUCGCAAGAACACCAGUGGCGAAGGCGGCUCACUGGCCCGAUACUGACGCUGAGGCACGAAAGCGUGGGGAGCAAACAGG
rnacentral:rRNA from 1 species